rnacentral:rRNA from 1 species
CUCUUCAGGCAGCAGUCUGAUCUGUACAGUAGUAUAUGCAUCGACUAUUCGUGCAGCAGCAGGUAGGCGAAUGACUGCCAAGCAUGUCAUGAAGUAUCGCGUAAAGCGUGCAGUACUCGGGUCGAUCAGUCUGCAGUCAAAGGAAGCAGCUCACCGGGUGAUUGGGCAGAGGAAGCGGAUUCAUUGGGUACGGUUGGGGUAGAGGGAACUACCAGGGUUGCGGUGACAUGUGCCGAUAUAGGGACGACCAGCAGUGGGAGGCGCCGCACGGACGCGUACUGAGAAGAGCGACAUCAGCUAGGGAGAGAAAGGAUUUGAUACCCAAGUAGUCCUAGCUGUAACGAUAUCUGCUAGGUGUUGACCGUAUCGACCCAGUCAGUAUAGAAUCCAACGCGUUAAGUAUCACGCCCCGAGAGUACGCACGCAAGUGUGAACAUCAAAGGACAAGAGUGCGGCAUGCACAAGCGUUGGAGUAUGUGGUUUAAUGCGAUAAACCGUGAAGAACCUUGACAGGGUUUGACAUCCCGCGAACCUUUGUGAAAGCAGAGGGGGCCUUCGGGAGCGGGGAGACAGGUGGUGCAUGGCUGUCGUCAACUCGUGUCGUGAGAUCUUGGGUUAAAUCCCCCAACGAGCGCAACCCUUGUCAUUAGAAGCCAGCAAUAAGUUGGGCACUAUGAGGAGACUGCCGGGGACAACUCGGAGGAAGGGGGGACCACUCAAGUCAUCAUGCCCCUUACGUUACUGGGCUACACCAUUACUACAAUGCUCCUGACAAAGGGCAGCAAGGGCGCGAGCGCAAGCUAAUCCCAUAAACCGGGCAUCAGUUCAGAUUGCAGGGUGCAACUAGCCGGCAAGAAGGAGGAAUCGCUAGUAAUUGCGGAUCAGCCAUGCCGCGGAGAAUACGUUACCGGGCCUAGUACACCACAGGGACACGCCAUGGGAGCGGGUGUUGCAUGAAGUCGCCGGGAGCGGAGGCGGGCGAAUACGGUUUGU